UCGGGUGUAAAGCACUUUCAGUAGGGAGGAAGGUAGUGUAGUUAACACCUGCACUAUUUGACGUUACCUACAGAAGAAGCACCGGCUAACUCCGUGCCAGCAGCCGCGGUAAUACGGAGGGUGCGAGCGUUAAUCGGAAUUACUGGGCGUAAAGACGCAUGCAGGCGGCCUGUUAAGUCAGAUGUGAAAGACCCGGGGCUUAACCUCGGAAUUGCAUUUGAAACUGGCAGGCUAGAGUCUUGUAGAGGGGGGUAGGAAUUUCAGGUGUAGCGGUGAAAUAGCGUAGAGAUCUGAAGGAAUACCAGUGGCGAAGGCGGCCCCCUCGGACAAAGACUGACGCUCAGAUGCGAAAGCGUGGGGAGCAAACAGGAUUAGAUACCCUGGUAG
rnacentral:rRNA from 1 species